UGUGUUCUACGUCAGACAGACUUGGUGCUC
rnacentral:piRNA from 1 species